rnacentral:rRNA from 1 species
UACGUAGGGGGCGAGCGUUGUCCGGAAUGACUGGGCGUAAAGGGUGCGUAGGCGGCCCGAGAGGUCCUGGGUGAAAGGCCCCGGCUCAACCGGGGAGGGCCCCAGGAAACCGGCGGGCUAGAGGGCUGGAGAGGGCCGCGGAAUUCCCGGUGUAGCGGUGAAAUGCUUAGAUAUGACAUAGAACACCAAUUGCGAAGGCAGCUUACUACACAAUGAUUGACGCUGAGGCACGAAAGCGUGGGGAUCAAACAGG